rnacentral:rRNA from 1 species
GGUGAACCUGCGGAAGGAUCAUUACCAAUACAAGCCGGCCGGUUUGCUG